rfam:Otolemur garnettii contig171123, whole genome shotgun sequence.
GCCAGACGUGGUGACAUGUGCCUGUAGUACCAGCUACUUGGGAAGCUGAGACAGGAGGAUCACUUGAGUCCAGGAGUUCUGGGCUGAAGUGCGCUAUGCUGAUCUGCUGUCUGCACUAAGUUUGGCAUCAAUAUGGUGACUCCCAGUAAAAGGGGGCCACCAGUUGCCUUAGGAGGGGUGAACCAGCUUAGGUCGGAAAUGGAGCAGGUCAAAAUUCCUGUGCUGAUCAGUAGUGGGAUCGUGCCUGGGAAUAGCCAUUAUACUCCAGCCUGGGCAACAUAGUUGAGACCCUGUCUCUU